UACAGAGGUCCCGAGCGUUGUUCGGAUUCAUUGGGCGUAAAGGGUGCGUAGGCGGCGGGGCAAGUCUGAUGUGAAAUCCCGGGGCUCAACCCCGGAACUGCAUUGGAUACUGCCUUGCUCGAGUACUGGAGAGGGAACUGGAAUUUACGGUGUAGCAGUGAAAUGCGUAGAGAUCGUAAGGAAGGCCAGUGGCGAAGGCGGCCCCCUGGUUGGAUACUGACGCUGAUACGCGAAAGCGUGGGGAGCAAACAGG
rnacentral:rRNA from 1 species